rnacentral:rRNA from 1 species
CGCGUAGGCGGCUUUUCAAGUUGGGUGUGAAAGCCCGGGGCUCAACCCCGGAACUGCAUUCAAAACUGGAAGGCUUGAGACCGAGAGAGGAGAGUGGAAUACCCAGUGUAGAGGUGAAAUUCGUAGAUAUUGGGUGGAACACCGGUGGCGAAAGCGGCUCUCUGGCUCGGUUCUGACGCUGAGGCGCGAAAGCGUGGGGAGCGAACAGGAUUAGAUACCCUGGUAGUCC